rnacentral:rRNA from 1 species
AUGGAUGACAACACAAACAGCCUCAAAUCGAUGUUGGAAACCAUCUUGUCUCGCCUCGACGAGCAGAAGCUCGACAACGACAAACGGCUCGAGGCCCAGGUCGCCUUUAACGCGCAAGUCUCCCAGGACCUGCGCAACCUCGCUAAGCAAGUGGACCUCACCCAGGCGAACAUCGACAAGACGCGCAAGGCACUGGAGCAGUCGCCGUCUCCGCAGGGAUCUGGAUUCGCCACCGUCUACAACCCACCGCCGCCACCACCGUUGCGACCCGCACCACAGCAACAUGGGUUGCCGCCUUCGCCUCGUCUCACGGAUCAGCGACCUCCGCUGUUGGCACAACCAGCCACCGUGCAGCCCUUGGGCACCCAGACGGACGGCCUCCGCUGUUGUAAUUAG